AACGAACGCUGGCGGCGUGGAUAAGACAUGCAAGUCGAACGGAACAGAUUGGGUAGCAAUAUUCGGUCUGUUUAGUGGCGCACGGGUGAGUAUCACGUGAGCAACCUGCCCGGAAGAGGGGGAUAGCCCGGGGAAACUCGGAUUAAUACCGCGUGUGAUUUUCCAUGGCAUCAUGGGGACAUCAAAGGUGGCGAAAGCUGCCGCUUCCGGAUGGGCUCGCGGCCUAUCAGCUUGUUGGUGAGGUAACGGCUCACCAAGGCUACGACGGGUACCUGGUCUGAGAGGACGACCAGGCACACUGGAACUGAGACACGGUCCAGACACCUACGGGUGGUAGCAGUCGAGGAUCAUUCGCAAUGGGCGAAAGCCUGACGGUGCGACGCCGCGUGGAGGAUGACGGCCUCGGUUCGUAACGUACCUCGUCUAUCAGAGAGUAAAG
rnacentral:rRNA from 1 species